GCGGGUAGUUUGCUGGGGAAUGCAAGGCUUCUUUGGAUUGAAACUCCUGAAAGCUCUCCUGUAUGGAUGUGAAUGAACAAAGAAUAUAUGAAUCAUUUUUUUCUUCCUGAGUUUUCCGCGGACUUCUCUUCAGACAUGCUCUAACAGAAGGUUUGCUGUCUCAGAUGAACCUAAUGUUUACAGGACUUAAGAGAAACAUCUGUGGCCAGGAUCAGGAUGAACCUCAUUGGACUUUUGGAAAAAGGUGAAGUUGGUGAUAAUUGAUUCACUACCUGCUACCCUGGGGCAAUCCCACUGUGCAACACUAAUGCAAGGACUAUUGCUACACAACUGCUAAAAGUCUUUUCCAGAAUAGGGAUACCUAAGGAGAUCCUCACUGAUCAAGGCACCAACAGGCUGAAACAGAUUAUCCUGGAAGGGGAGAGACUUGGAAGUGACCUGGCUAGAGGAACAGGAAUAGGCAGGCCACCACAGAGGCAGAGCAAUCAGCGGCAGCAGACCCCAGAGGAGACAGAGCAGCCAUGCCAAUCCUGGCCAUAAGUAGUGCCAGCAGUGAGCUGACCCCAUUCACAACUCUAAACACAUCUGUGCUCCUCUGAGACAAGGCAGCUUGCAAAAAACCCAGGAAGAAGUACCUGACAGAUGGAAAGACAGUGAUCCAAGGGAUUUGUUUGUGAGCAAAGCUCCUAGAGAAGAUCAGACUAUUGCAGAAUCUAACUGCUUUUAAGGUGCACGCUUUCAGAAAGUUAUCACAUUAUAACCUGGAUGAUAGGUGAAUGGGAAGAAGGUAAAAAAAUAAAAAAGAUCAGGGAGGAGAGAAAAGGAGAAGAAUCCCUUAAAUCCACUAGGGACCUCACCAUGCAGAUUUCAUUUGCUUCAAAAGCAUUUAGAUACUAUGAUGAUGGGAGCUAUAGAAAACAGUAAGUUACAUCAAUAAUACCAGCAAUAAACUGCAAGUAACUGAAUAGUAUAUGGCAGAAGGGAAAGGUUUGUAACAGAAUUUAGUAGAAAUUAUUCUGGCUUUUUACAAAACCACCCAGUGAGGUUUAUAUUGUGUUUAUUUCUAGUCAGCAGAUUACUGAAAGGGCCUAUCAGAAAUCCAAAGUGUACCCAAGUCAGCUACAAUGGUUUGGGUUAGAGGUGUGAGAAACAAAUGGAAAUGAUCCAGCUUUGAUCUUGAGACUAAGCAGGGUGCAAGGAUAAGAUUAGAUUCUUGCCAGACCUCCCAAUCUGAGAAGAUGACUUUGAAGGAAGAAGGGUGGGGGAGUUUUGUUUUGUUUUAGUUCCCAUAUGUUUUGGAGAGCCUCCAGCUCUCUAUUGGGAAGCCUACGUUUGAUGACAGAGGUCAGGCAAAUGAGCCAAGGAUCCACACAAGCAGACCAUAUCAGCACAACAGAUUUCCUGUUCGACACUUAAAUCAAAGCAUUCCCAUGCCUCAAAAAAAAUGGAUUAAUGUCAAUUUUUGCGAUAACUGAUUAAAAACAAGAGGUCACAGAUUCAGUUUAAGUAGGGAUUUAGUCCGUGAUUCAUUUAUUUCUGCACAGAGUGGUUAACAUAUGGAGCAAAGUGCCAAAGGCAACAAGAGAAGCGGGUAAUAGAACUCUUUGUGAGAAGAAGUUUCAUUAGUCUUUGACAGAAGGUUGGACUCAAACAUUUCAGCCACUUGGUAGCUUAAUUUGAUCCUGGAAAAUUAUAGAUAUCAAAAAUAGCCAAUCCUAAAGAGUCAGAGCUACACUUUCAAAAAUAGAUAGUUUACUUAUAAGUAUAAGAUAAAUGUGCUCAGUUAGGAUUCAUCUGAGACAAGCCAAGUGCCAAUAGAGCUCUUAUGUACCAGGGUUUGUACAGGCAUAACCUAUAUUUGCAAGUACCUUUUUGCUCAUGUAAAUGUCAGACUUGGUCGCGAAAAUGCAGAUUUGGUUACAUGUGGAUGAUAUUUCUGGGCAAAAGGCAGCUUGUCAUUUUGAAACUUUGGCAUAGAAUCUAGCACCUAAAUAUCCUUUGGGCUUUUCAAAAGCAUGUCGGUGUGCCACUUUCUUCUACGCCUGUCAAAAUAUAGAAAUUUGGAAA